rnacentral:rRNA from 1 species
UACGUAGGGUGCGAGCGUUGUCCGGAAUUACUGGGCGUAAAGAGCUCGUAGGUGGUUUGUCGCGUUGUUCGUGAAAACCGGGGGCUUAACCCUCGGCGUGCGGGCGAUACGGGCAGACUUGAGUACUGCAGGGGAGACUGGAAUUCCUGGUGUAGCGGUGGAAUGCGCAGAUAUCAGGAGGAACACCGGUGGCGAAGGCGGGUCUCUGGGCAGUAACUGACGCUGAGGAGCGAAAGCGUGGGGAGCGAUCCGG